CUUUGGUCUACAGCGUCUCGCUAAAGAAGCCGAAAAGUAUCAAGCAUCACAUCAGUGGAGGGAUGAGUUUGGGAAUAACGAUAUAAUCUAUUACAAUGCAAAAGAUGAUCAGAACGAUCCUGAAAAGAAUGAUACUGAAUCUGGCAGCCAGAGAAUCAGACCAGUGUUCGAAGAAGAUCCUGUUUUCCGACGGCAAACUUCUUACCAACAUGCAGCAGUCCACAUACCAACAGAUAUCUACGA